rnacentral:snRNA from 1 species
GCUCAGGGCGAUCUGACUGCGACAUCUGUCACCCCAUGAUCGCCAGGGCUGAUUCGGCUGAUCUGGCUGGCUAGGCAGGUGUCCCUUUCCCCCCUCACUGCUCCACGGUUGUCCCUUCGGAAGUUGUGCACUCGAUCGAAGAGGACAGCUUUCUCCAAAUAGAGACGGACUGGUCUUCGGUUGAGGGUAUACGAGUAGCUGCGCUCCCCUGCUAGAACCUCCAAACAAGCUCUCAAGGCUAUGACCAAAAAUGAAAAAGAAAAAGAUAGUACAGUGGGCUAGUAGCUUGCCUUGCAUGUGGCAGACCCAGGUUUGACU